rnacentral:tRNA from 1 species
GACUUCGUGGUGUAAUGGUCAGCACACUCGAUGUGCAUUCGAGAGGUCCGAGGUUCGAGUCUCGGGGAGGGCA